AAAAAUUUAUCAAUCAUUUUUAAAGAAAAUGAUUUUGUGAUUGAAAAGUUAAAUGGUAAAAAUAUUGCUCAAUGUUUAAAGUGCAAUUAUAAGUUAAAAAAUACUGCACAAAUUCGAUUACAAAGUCAUCGAAAUAGAUGUGCUGCCAAAACUACUGAUCCCUCGGGAAAAACUAAGGUGCUAAGUAGAUCCUCUGAAGAAAGGUCAGCUAAUAUUUCAUUUGAUAAUCAAUCUAAAGCGACUUCAAGCAUUUCAUCAAAUAGUAGGAGU